rnacentral:rRNA from 1 species
CCUACGGGUGGCAGCAGUGAGGAAUAUUGGUCAAUGGACGCAAGCCUGAACCAGCCAUGCCGCGUGCAGGAUGACUGCUCUAUGAGUUGUAAACUGCUUUUGUACGAGGGUAAACGCAGAUACGCGUACCUGUCUGAAAGUAUUGUAUGAAUAAGGAUCGGCUAACUCCGUGCCAGCAGCCGCGGUAAUACGGAGGAUCCAAGCGUUAUCCGGAUUUAUUGGGUUUAAAGGGUGCGUAGGUGGUCGGAUAAGUCAGUGGUGAAAUACUGCGGCUCAACUGUGGAAUUGCCUUUGAUACUGUUCGCCUAGAGAAUAGUUGAGGUAGGCGGAAUGUGUGGUGUAGCGGUGAAAUGCUUAGAGAUCACGAAGAACACCGAUUGCGAAGGCAGCUUACUAAGCUACUUCUGACGUUGAGGCUCGAAAGCGUGGGGAGCAAACAGGAUUAGAUACCCGGGUAGUC